ACUAACCAUUUGUACGUUUACAAACUUGUUUUUGCCAUCCCCGCCCAAAUCCCACAUCCAUGUCGGUCCGAAGCUUAAUAGAGCCAAGCUUUAACUAGCUUAUGUCUCUCUCUCUCUCUUGAACAAUAAAUUCAAAUUCACAAAAUUUCCCCAUUUCUCUCUCUCUGUCCAACGACUAUGAUCCAUUCCCAUUGCCGAGAAAUACGCCUUCAAUUACUUCCUUAUGAGAUCCAUUUUCAAUUGCCAUUCUUACUUGUCUUCUUCUUCGGUGCUGGUGGAUUUGAUUACGGAGAUGUUACCUGAUUUAUUGCCGUGUGAUUGUGCUACUAGUGCUGCCGCCGCUGCUGCUAAUUCCGUUUUGCUCCUUCGCCGUGUCGGGACGGUGGCGCUGUUAUUAGUUGCGGCUUCUUUAUCUUGCUUCGUCCUUUACAGAGCGGGUGAAACAGUUGGAUUCAAGAUCCCCGACUCUCUCAGCUCACAUGCAUCUCGUGUUUUCUUCUUCCUCCCUGCUGAUCACUCCCCCCUUCCCUUGGACACUGAGGAGCAAAAGCUUGAAAAGGUUUUGAAAGAUGCUGCUAUGGCAGAUAGAACUGUGAUUUUAACAACCUUAAAUGAAGCCUGGGCUGCUCCAGAUUCUGUUCUUGAUCUCUUUCUUGAAAGCUUUAGAAUUGGCAAUCACACCCGUGAGCUUUUGAAUCAUUUAGUGAUUAUUGCCCUUGAUGAGAAGGCAUUUUCCCGGUGCUUGGCUGUACAUACUCAUUGCUAUGCACUAGUAAGUGAAGGGUUUGACUUUUCCAAGGAGGCUUAUUUCAUGACCCAUGACUACUUAAAGAUGAUGUGGAGAAGGAUCGACUUCUUAAAGGAUGUUCUUGAAAUGGGAUACAACUUUGUCUUCACGGAUGCUGAUGUCAUGUGGUUCAGAAAUCCAUUUCCUCACUUCUACGAGGAUGCAGAUUUUCAGAUAGCGUGUGAUCAUUUCUUAGGAAACCCUGAAGACGUGGAGAAUAGACCUAAUGGUGGCUUCUUGUUUGUGAGGUCAAAUAAUAGAUCUAUUGAGUUCUACAAGUUCUGGUACACCUCACGAGAAACGUACCCGGAUUUGCAUGAUCAAGAUGUUCUUAACAAUAUAAAGUAUGAUUCGUUCAUUAUUGAUAUUGAUCUCAAAAUGAGAUUCUUGGAUACAACAUAUUUUGGUGGAUUUUGUGAACCGAGCAAAGAUUUGAAUGAAGUAUGUACAAUGCAUGCUAAUUGCUGUUUUGGGAUGGAAAGUAAACUUCAUGAUCUUAGAGUCUUGCUUCAAGAUUGGAAAAGAUUCUUGUCUUUGCCACCAACGCUGAAGAGAUCAUUAGCAUUUUCAUGGAGAGUUCCUCAAAACUGCAGAGCCAAGGCUGUUUUUCGGAAACAGCCUCCCUACCUCCCAAGGUGGGGGUAAGGUCUGCGUACACUUACCCUCCCCAGACCCCACAUUGUGGGAUUUCACUGGUCUUGAUUCUCUUCACUUGUAUGCCCCACCACUGGAGAACGUAAAACAGGAGAUUGUAGAACAGGAGAAGGUAGAAUAAUAGAACAAGUGUAGAUGACUGACUAAAUUUACAGCUGUUGUAGCAAUUGAAGCUGCUUUCUGUGCUGGUAAGUGGUAACAAUGAGGAAACAGCCAUUUUGCUUAACCACCAAGUCAAAGUUAAUACAAGUUUAAUUCGAAAGCUGACCUGUUCUCAGUCCGUUUUCUCCGGCUUUUGUAAAUAUUAAUCUUGGGGUUUUGGUCCAACUUGGGGAAAGAAUAUUAACAAAUUUUGUCUUGUUUCCUCGUCA